CACUCCUACGGGAGGCAGCAGUGGGGAAUAUUGCACAAUGGGCGCAAGCCUGAUGCAGCCAUGCCGCGUGUGUGAAGAAGGCCUUCGGGUUGUAAAGCACUUUCAGCGGGGAGGAAGGCAAUGCGGUUAAUAACCGUGUUGAUUGACGUUACCCGCAGAAGAAGCACCGGCUAACUCCGUGCCAGCAGCCGCGGUAAUACGGAGGGUGCAAGCGUUAAUCGGAAUUACUGGGCGUAAAGCGCACGCAGGCGGUCUGUCAAGUCGGAUGUGAAAUCCCCGGGCUCAACCUGGGAACUGCAUUCGAAACUGGCAGGCUUGAGUCUUGUAGAGGGGGGUAGAAUUCCAGGUGUAGCGGUGAAAUGCGUAGAGAUCUGGAGGAAUACCGGUGGCGAAGGCGGCCCCCUGGACAAAGACUGACGCUCAGGUGCGAAAGCGUGGGGAGCAAACAGGAUUAGAAACCCUAGUAGUCCCAUG
rnacentral:rRNA from 1 species